GACAGAGGGUGCAAACGUUGUUCGGAAUUACUGGGCGUAAAGCGCUUGUAGGCGGUCGUGCAAGUCGGGUGUGAAAGCCCGGGGCUCAACCCCGGAAGUGCAUUCGAUACUGCAUGGCUAGAGUACCGGAGAGGGUGGUGGAACUCUGGGUGUAGAGGUGAAAUUCGUAGAUAUCCAGAAGAACACCGGUGGCGAAAGCGGCUCUCUGGAACGGUACUGACGCUGAGACGCGAAAGCGUGGGGAGCGAACAGG
rnacentral:rRNA from 1 species